GGUGAACGCUGGCGGUGCGCCUAAUACAUGCAAGUCGAACGAGAUCUAUUUGAAGUUUACUUUAGAUAGUGAAAGUGGCGGACGAGCGAGUAACACGUAAGCAUCUGCCCCGUACUCAGGGAUAACGGCUCGAAAGAGUCGCUAAUACCGGAUAGUCUCUUCGGAGUAAAGAUUUAUCGGUACGGGAGGAGCUUGCGGCUUAUCAGCUAGUUGGUGGGGUAAAGGCCUACCAAGGCUAUGACGAGUAGCUGGUGUGAGAGCAUGACCAGCCGCGAUGGAACUGAGACACGGUCCAU
rnacentral:rRNA from 1 species